AGAGUUUGAUCCUGGCUCAGGAUGAACGCUGGCGGCGUGCCUAAUACAUGCAAGUCGAGGAGAAUCAAUUGAUCAGCGAUUUAUCAAAGAGAUAUUGAGGAAAGCGGCGGACGGGUGAUAACGCGUAGGCAACCUGCCCUUAGCAGAGGGAUAGCCAUUGGAAACGAUGAUUAAAACUCAUAACGCCGGACAUUCACAUGAAUGACCGGCCAAAGAUUUAUCGGCUAGGGAUGGGCUGCGUCUGAUUAACUGGUUGGUGAGGUAACGGCUCACCAAGGUGACGAUCAGUAGCCGACUGAGAGGGUGAUCGGCCACAUUGGAACUGAGACACGGUCCAAACUUCUACGGAAGGCACAGUAAGGAAUCUUGCACAAUGGGGGAAACCCUGAUGCAGCAACGCCGCGUGAACGAUGAGGCCUUCGGGUUGUAAAGUUCUGAUCUUGGGGAAGAAGGAAGUGACGGUACCCAAGGAAAAGCCCCGGCUAAAUACGUGCCAGCAGCCGCGGUAAUACGUAUGGGGCAAGCGUUAUCGGAAUUAUUGGGCGUAAAGAGUGCGUAGGUGGUUACCUAAGCGUAAGGUUUAAUCGAGAGCUCAACCUCUUCUCGCCUUGCGAACUGGGCUACUUGAGUGCAGGAGGGGAAAGCGGAAUCCUAGUGUAGCGGUGAAAUGCGUAGAUAUUAGGAAGAACACCGGUGGCGAAGGCGGCUUCUGGACUGUAACUGACACUGAGGCACGAAAGCGUGGGGAGCAAACAGGAUUAGAUACCUGGUAGUCCACGCCGUAAACGAUGAGCACUAGUUGUUGGGUCCGAA
rnacentral:rRNA from 1 species